CAAUAGCGUAUAUUAAAGUUGUUGCGGUAAAAAAGCUCGUAGUUGGAUUUCUACCGAAGAUAGCCGGUCGGGUCUUCGACCUUGUAUCUGGUUUUGUCUUUGGUAUCCUCAUAGGGAACGUUUCUGCGCUUUAUUGCGUGGUGCGGUAUCUAUGACUUUUACUUUGAGGAAAUUAGAGUGUUCACGGCAAGCAAACGCCUUGAAUAUAUUAGCAUGGAAUAAUAACAUAGGAUCUUCGUCCUAUUUUGUUGGUUUCUAGGGCUAAGAUAAUGAUUAAUAGGGAUAAUUGGGGGCAUCUGUAUCAACGCGUCAGAGGUGGAAUUCUUGGAUUGCGUUGCGACAAACUACUGCGAAAGCAUUUGCCAAGGAUGUUUUCAUUGA
rnacentral:rRNA from 1 species